AUGUACGGCUCGCCGGCGUCCAAGGAUCUGAACCAGCCGCCGCCGCCGAUGAACUCCUCCGGCCUCCUCAGGUACAGAUCGGCGCCCAGCACGCUGCUCGGCGAGGUCUGCGAGGAGUUCCUCCAGCCCGGCCCCCGCGCCGCCAGCCCCGACGCCGCCGCCGCCGACAACGUCUUCUCCCGCUUCCUGGCCGACCACCAGAUCCGAGACACCAAGCCGCCGCCGCCGCCGCCCGUCGCCCCCGGGGCCCACUUCCCUGAUGACUCCGCCAUGGCGUCCCAGCAGCACCAGCAGCAGAUGAUGUUCCACUCCCAGCAACAGCACCAGCAGCAGAUGCCCCCCGUCGGCGUCGAGGGGCUCUACCGCACCGUCAGCUCCGCCGGGAUGGACUCGGCCGCGGCGGCCACCGCCGGCGGCGCCAGCAGCCUACUCCGGCAGAGCAGCUCCCCCGCCGGCUUCCUCAAUCAUUUGAACAUGGACAACGGGUACGAGAGCAUGCUGAGGCAAGGCAUGGGCGUCGGCUUCCGGAACGGCGCCGCCAACGCCGCCGCCGCGGCCGUGGACUCCUCCGGCGGCGGGGGCGGCAGGCUCAAGGGCCAGCUCAGCUUCUCGUCGCGGCAGGGGUCGCUCAUGUCCCAGAUCUCGGAGAUGGGCAGCGAGGAUCUCGGCGGCAGCAGCCCCGAGGGCGCCGGAGGCAGCCGCGGCUACAUCCCCGGCUACCCGAUGAGCUCGGGGUGGGAGGAGUCGUCGCUCAUGUCGGAGAACAUGUCCGGGAUGAAGCGCCCACGGGACUCCUCAGAGCCUGCUGCCCAGAACGGGCUGGCGCACCAGUUCAGCCUUCCCAAGACCUCGUCGGAGAUGGCCGCCAUCGAGAAGUUCCUCCAGUUCCAGGACGCCGUGCCCUGCAAGAUCCGGGCCAAGCGCGGGUGCGCCACGCACCCCCGCAGCAUUGCCGAGCGGGUGAGGAGGACAAGAAUCAGCGAGCGAAUCAGGAAGCUGCAAGAACUCGUCCCAAACAUGGACAAGCAAACCAACACGGCUGACAUGUUGGAUCUGGCUGUCGACUACAUCAAGGAGCUCCAGGAGCAGGUCAAGGUGAUCAACGAGAGCCGCGCCAACUGCACCUGCUCGGCGAGCAAGCAUCAGCAGUACUCUGGUUGA
rnacentral:rRNA from 1 species